rnacentral:rRNA from 1 species
CCCAAUUGAUUGAUGGUGCUUGCACCUGAUUGAUUUUCGUUGCCAACGAGUGGCGGACGGGUGAGUAACACGUAGGUAACCUGCCCAGAAGCGGGGGACAACAUUUGGAAACAGAUGCUAAUACCGCAUAACAGCGUUGUUCGCAUGAACAACGCUUAAAAGAUGGCUUCUCGCUAUCACUUCUGGAUGGACCUGCGGUGCAUUAGCUUGUUGGUGGGGUAACGGCCUACCAAGGCGAUGAUGCAUAGCCGAGUUGAGAGACUGAUCGGCCACAAUGGGACUGAGACACGGCCCAUACUCCUACGGGAGGCAGCAGUAGGGAAUCUUCCACAAUGGGCGCAAGCCUGAUGGAGCAACACCGCGUGAGUGAAGAAGGGUUUCGGCUCGUAAAGCUCUGUUGUUAAAGAAGAACACGUAUGAGAGUAACUGUUCAUACGUUGACGGUAUUUAACCAGAAAGUCACGGCUAACUACGUGCCAGCAGCCGCGGUAAUACGUAGGUGGCAAGCGUUAUCCGGAUUUAUUGGGCGUAAAGAGAGUGCAGGCGGUUUUCUAAGUCUGAUGUGAAAGCCUUCGGCUUAACCGGAGAAGUGCAUCGGAAACUGGAUAACUUGAGUGCAGAAGAGGGUAGUGGAACUCCAUGUGUAGCGGUGGAAUGCGUAGAUAUAUGGAAGAACACCAGUGGCGAAGGCGGCUACCUGGUCUGCAACUGACGCUGAGACUCGAAAGCAUGGGUAGCGAAC